UACGUAGGGAGCAAGCGUUGUCCGGAAUCAUUGGGCGUAAAGCGUGCGUAGGUGGCCUCAUAAGUCCGCUGUGAAAGUCAAAGGCUCAACCUUUGAAAGCCGGUGGAUACUGUGAGGCUAGAGUACGGAAGAGGCGAGUGGAAUUCCUGGUGUAGCGGUGGAAUGCGCAGAUAUCAGGAGGAACACCAAUAGCGAAGGCAGCUCGCUGGGACGUUACUGACACUGAGGCGCGAAAGCGUGGGGAGCGAACAGG
rnacentral:rRNA from 1 species